rnacentral:rRNA from 1 species
CCUACGGGUGGCAGCAGUGGGGAAUAUUGCACAAUGGGGGAAACCCUGAUGCAGCGACGCCGCGUGAGUGAAGAAGUACCUCGGUAUGUAAAGCUCUAUCAGCAGGGAAGAAAAUGACGGUACCUGACUAAGAAGCCCCGGCUAACUACGUGCAAGCAGCCGCGGUAAUACGUAGGGGGCAAGCGUUAUCCGGAUUUACUGGGUGUAAAGGGAGCGUAGACGGCGUGGCAAGUCAGGAGUGAAAUUCCGGGGCUCAACCAUGGAACUGCAUUGGAAACUGGGAGGCUGGAGUACAGGAGAGGUAGGCGGAAUUCGUGGUGUAGCGGUGAAAUGCGUAGAUAUUAGGAGGAACACCGGUGGCGAAGGCGGCUUACUGGACUGCAACUGACGUUGAGGCUCGAAAGCGUGGGGAGCAAACAGGAUUAGAUACCCGUGUAGUC